UCUCCGUAGGUGAACCUGCGGAGGGAUCAUUACAAGUGACCCCGGUCUUACCACCGGGAUGUUCAUAACCCUUUGUUGUCCGACUCUGUUGCCUCCGGGGCGACCCUGCCUUCGGGCGGGGGCUCCGGGUGGACACUUCAAACUCUUGCGUAACUUUGCAGUCUGAGUAAACUUAAUUAAUAAAUUAAAACUUUUAACAACGGAUCUCUUGGUUCUG
rnacentral:misc_RNA from 1 species